GACGAACGCUGGCGGCGUGCUUAACACAUGCAAGUCGAACGAUGAAGCUAGAGCUUGCUCUGGUGAAUUAGUGGCGAACGGGUGAGUAACACGUGAGUAACCUGCCCCGAACUCUGGGAUAACUGCUGGAAACGGUAGCUAAUACUGGAUACGACCUACGAAGGCAUCUUCUGUAGGUGGAAAGAAUUUCGGUUCGGGAUGGACUCGCGGCCUAUCAGCUUGUUGGUGAGGUAAUGGCUCACCAAGGCGACGACGGGUAGCCGGCCUGAGAGGGUGACCGGCCACACUGGGACUGAGACACGGCCCAGACUCCUACGGGAGGCAGCAGUGGGGAAUAUUGCACAAUGGGCGCAAGCCUGAUGCAGCAACGCCGCGUGAGGGAUGACGGCCUUCGGGUUGUAAACCUCUUUUAGUGGGGAAGAAGCAGCAGCUCUAACACAGUUUGCGAAUGACGGUACCUGAAGAAUAAGCACCGGCUAAC
rnacentral:rRNA from 1 species